AUCCCACAAUAAAGCCCCUCUCCUGUUGCUCUCCUGCCAGUGUGAUUAGCAAUGGAGGUCUUUGACCCAGGCAGUCACCGCUCUCAAGGAACAAGUGUCCAUGAAGAAGCAGCCUGAGCUGUUAGGCAUCUGCCUUUGCUCAAGACAUCCUCUGCCUACCCUGGCAGUUACCCUGGAUGGUUUUGCUGUCGUGAUUAAAACACAGAUGGAGCUCAUCCCUUCCCUGGGUGUUUGAUUGGCAGACUCUCUGUGAUCAGCACUCUUCUCUGGUGAACACAUCAGCGCCAUCUGCCUUCUGUCUGCCUGGAGAGACUUGCCACAGUAGAGCUUCCUCAGCCUCACAUGAACCGCUGCAAAGGAUGUGCGCUCCUUUUGCUGAAGCCGUCAAAUAAAAAAGCUUUUUCAUGAAAAGCUAAAUAGAAUACAUGAAGAUUUUCACGACAGUAGGCUUCCGGAUUAAUGAAAUAUUCAUUUAAAUUGGACUUGGAGGAUAUGUCACUUCUUUUCUUUGAUUAAAAUAUUUAGAGCAUAACACAAAAUCACUGUGUCUUGAAAAAGCCAAACUUCAAGGAAAUUCAGCUGAUGGGGCAUCUUGUUUUCAGUGAGGUUGUUAAAGAUGAUUUUUCCAACCAGGGUCAGGUGCUUGGAACCGUUAGGUGAAUGCUAGGCAUGGUGGGAGUCCUCUUGUGUGCUUAAGAGUUUAAGAGAUCGAACCCAAUAGAUAGUAAGCUUCUUUCAAAGAGAAUGCUAAUUUUAAUGUUUUUAUGACUUAAAUAGAUUGUAAUAAGUUAUUACUUCCUAAUUUAGAUGUUGGUAUGACGACUGGGCAGACGCAUGUUCUUGUUCCACAUCAACAUUGUAUGACUGCAGAGUGUAGCCUGAGUGCUUAGGAAAGGGUACUUUUACGAUAUUGGAAGACUGGACAUCGUGACAUUAGGAGGAGGGAGGGGGUUACUGGGCUGUUCUAAAAUUAGCAAUGUGAAGAGCUGGUUCAAACUUAAUUGCCUAGGUGUGGAAGAAAUAUACUUGUAUUGUGCUUAAUAAUGUGAAUUAUCUGUAUCAUUAAAUAACAGGAAACCCGUUUGAGUUUCUUCUUCCUGUCCAAAUAAAUAAAUAAAUAAAUAAAUAAAUAUAAUUAAC
ensembl:processed_transcript B230216N24Rik RIKEN cDNA B230216N24 gene